GCCGCCAUAGCUCCGUGGUUAGAGCACUGGUCUUGCAAACCAGGGGUCGUGAGUUCGAUCCUCACUGGGUGGCU